rnacentral:ncRNA from 1 species
CGAUAUCGGCUCUUCCUAUCAUUGUGAAGCAGAAUUCACAAGCGUUGGAUUGUUCACCCAUUAUAGGGAACAUGAACUGGGUUUAGACCGUCGUGAGACAAGUU